AAUAGAUACCCGGGUAGUCCACGCCGUAAACGAUGAGUGCUAAGUGUUAGGGGGUUUCCGCCCCUUAGUGCUGCAGCUAACGCAUUAAGCACUCCGCCUGGGGAGUACGGUCGCAAGACUGAAACUCAAAGGAAUUGACGGGGGCCCGCACAAGCGGUGGAGCAUGUGGUUUAAUUCGAAGCAACGCGAAGAACCUUACCAGGUCUUGACAUCCCAUUGACCGCUAUGGAGACAUAGCUUUCCCUUCGGGGACAGUGGUGACAGGUGGUGCAUGGUUGUCGUCAGCUCGUGUCGUGAGAUGUUGGGUUAAGUCCCGCAACGAGCGCAACCCUUGUUCUUAGUUGCCAUCAUUUAGUUGGGCACUCUAAGGAGACUGCCGGUGACGAAACCGGAGGAAGGUGGGGAUGACGUCAAAUCAUCAUGCCCCUUAUGACCUGGGCUACACACGUGCUACAAUGGACGGUACAAACGGUUGCCAACCCGGCGAGGGGGAGCUAAUCCGGAUAAAACCGGUUCUCAGUUCGGAUUGUAGGCUGCAACUCGCCUAC
rnacentral:rRNA from 1 species